rnacentral:rRNA from 1 species
GACGAACGCUGGCGGCGUGCUUAACACAUGCAAGUCGAGCGGUAAGGCCCUUUCGGGGGUACACGAGCGGCGAACGGGUGAGUAACACGUGGGUGACCUGCCCUCAGUUCUGGGAUAAGAAAACCUGGGAAACCGGGUCUAAUACUGGAUAUGACCUCAUGACGCAUGUUGUGGGGUGGAAAGCCUUGUGCGACUGAGGAUGGGCCCGCGGCCUAUCAGCUUGUUGGUGGGGUGAUGGCCUA